rnacentral:tRNA from 1 species
GAGCAGGUAGCUCAGUAGUAGAGCAUGUGCUUAGCAUGCAUGAGGCUCUAGGGUCAAUCUCUAGCCUCCUAC